rnacentral:sRNA from 1 species
CUCUAAAGGACCUUUCUAAACAGCUCCCAGUGGCAACCUUUAGUGUUCCUGACUUGGAGGCUCUAAUCUCUGCCUUUGUCUUGGGGUUUCUGACCUUUGGACACCACAUUUCUAUAUUCUUCUGAUGAAUGACCCCUGUUCUGUGCUGAGAAUGAUCUGUGACUGCUGUCCUUUUGGUUUCGAAUGGACGGGGGCCAGCAUACCGCAGGACAAGGUGUCUGGGGGAACAUUUGAAAUAAAUUUCCUAUAGUCUGAGACAAGAACAACCAACUGCACGCAGGGCAAACCAACAAGAUCCUUGAUCCCAGAAUCCAUUCUGAAAAAGCACAAAAGGAAUACGACAACUGCCAAUAUAAUUUAUACUACAUUUGUAUAUUAUAUUAUAUUUAUAAUUUAUAUUACAACCCAAGUGGACACAUCCUGAUAAUUGUAUAUACUCACCAAACCACAAUAACAACAAAGAAUAUUUGCAUUCUCUGAAAAAUUCCUAUGUCCCUUGGCAGGGUCUCCUUCCCUGACACUGAACCCCAGGACCACUGAUCUUUUUGUGUCUUUAUGUCAGUUUACGUUUGUACAAAUGAUCUCACUGUACAAGAACUCAGUUACAUCUGGGCAAUGAACUCCUACUACGUGAA